rnacentral:rRNA from 1 species
CACGCCGUAAACGAUGAGCACUAGGUGUCGGGGGUCGAACCUCGGUGCCGCAGUUAACACAUUAAGUGCUCCGCCUGGGGAGUACGGUCGCAAGAUUAAAACUCAAAGGAAUUGACGGGGGCCCGCACAAGUAGCGGAGCAUGUGGUUUAAUUCGAAGCAACGCGAAGAACCUUACCUGGGCUUGACAUCCCAAGAAUCCUGUGGAAACAUAGGAGUGCCCUUCGGGGAACUUGGUGACAGGUGG